GAUGAACGCUGGCGGCGUGCCUAAUACAUGCAAGUCGAGCGAACGGACGAGAAGCUUGCUUUUCUGAUGUUAGCGGCGGACGGGUGAGUAACACGUGGAUAACCUACCUAUAAGACUGGGAUAACUUCGGAAAACCGGAGCUAACACCGGAUAAGAUUUUGAACCGCAUGGGUCAAAAGUGAAAGACGGCCUUGCUGUCACUUAUAGAUGGAUCCGCGCUGCAUUAGCUAGUUGGUAAGGUAACGGCUUACCAAGGCAACGAUGCAUAGCCGACCGGAGAGGGGGAUAGGCCACACUGGAACUGAGACACGGUCCAGACUACUAAGGGAGGGAGCAGUAGGGAAUCUGCCGCAAUGGGCGAAAGCCUGACGGAGUAACGGCGCGUGAGAUAUGAAGGUCUUCGGAUCGUAAAACUCUGUUAUUAGGGAAGAACAGAUGUGUACGUAACUGUGCACAUCUUGACGGUACCUAAUCAGAAAGCCACGGCUAACUACGUG
rnacentral:rRNA from 1 species